UCUGGUUGAUCCUGCCAGUAGUGAUACUCUACCUUCAAGAUUAAGCCAUGCAUGGCAUCAUACGCCUCGACAAAGUGAAACCGCAAACAGCUCAUUAAAUCAGUUUAACUUCCUUGCUCUCGAGUUCCUAAAUGGAUAACUGUGGUAAAUCUAGAGCUAAUACAUGCAUCCAGGCUUAUAUUUACUAUAAGUUCGCAUUUUUAUUAGACCCAGACUGAGGCAUUCUCGGAGUGGUCCUCAUUCAGAGGUGAAUCUAGAUAACAAUCAGCUAUCUUUUAAGUUCCUCUUUGAGCGACGAUGAAUGUAAUUUCCGGCUCUGCCUUCAACUAUUUUUUUGGUAGUCGACGGGACUACCAGGUGAUCACGAGUAACGGGAAUAUGGGUUCUAUUCCGGAGAAGGAGCCUGAGAAACGGCUACUACAUCUAAGGGUGGCAGCCGGCGCGCAAUUUGCCCAAUUUUAGAUGUAGGAGGCAGUGACGAGACAUAAACAUUGAAGAGCGUAGCUUCUGUUGCGUUUCUUCAUCUAAUUGUGAUUGAGCACAAGGUAAUGCUGUGGCCGAUUAUCAUUGGAGGGCAUCUGGUGCCAGCAGCCGCGGUAAUUCCAGCUCCAAUAGCGUAUAUUAUAUAGUGUUUUUGCGGUUAAAAAGCUCAUAGUCUAAAUUCGGCUACAUAUAUUACUCCCCCCAUUCUAUUUUAGUUUUGGUUAUAUGGGUAAUCUAGUAAUGUAGUUUCAUUAUCUGGCGUUAGUUUGCAAUGUGUUUGUGCUUAAACGCGUCAACGAUUACUUUGACAACUCCAGAGUGAUCAAGACAGCUCGUUUAGCACGCCGUGAAUCUUCCUACAUGGAAUAAUAGAAAAGGACUCGUUUGGGUCUGGUGACAAUGAAUAUGUUUCACGCAUAACUAUGGUCUCCAUACCUCGAGUAAUGAUUAAAAGGGAUUGACGGGGGCAGUCGUAUUGCUGGGCUAGCGGUGAAAUGCAAUGACCCUGGUAAGACGUCCUAAAGCGAAAGCAAUUGCCUAGGAUUUUUUCAUGUCAGACGAAGUUAGAGGCGAAUGCGAUUAGAUACAGCCCUAGUUUCUCUAACCAUAAACGAUGCCAACCAGCAAUCAGUCUGAGAAUUCAGCCUUAUUUACUCUUAAACGAUCUUGAAUUAGACUGGUUCUCCCGGAGAAAUCAGAGUGAUUAGGCUCCUGGAAGUAUGGUUGCAAGGCUGAACUUAAAGGAAUUGACGGAGGGGCCCACAAGGAGUGGAGCUUGCGGCUUAAUUUGACUCAACAAGGGGAAAACUUACCAGGAUAAUCCACUAUGACAUUGUCCGCUAGAGACCUUUCUUGAUUUAGUGAAUAGUGGUGCAUGGCCGUUAUUAGUUCGUGGGUGAUUUGUCAGGUUGAUUCCGACACGAACAAGACUCUAGCCUGCUAAUUAAAGGUAAUUACUAAUUAUGCGUCGGUGUACGAGGAUUGCAACCCUCCUUAGAGGGAUUAUGACGUUUUUUUUAUUUAUAUUUGUCAUAGAUAGAUUGAGGACAAUAACAGGUCUGUAUGCCCUGUUGAUAUCUUGGGCCGCACGCGAGCUACAUUGAAAAACAAUGAGUUUAUUCAAUUUCCGUGUCCGACAGGUUACGUGUAAUCAUUGAAUUUCUUUCACCUCUGGGAUUGAGCUUUGUAAUCUUAGUUCAUGAACGAGGAAUUCCUGUAAUGGUGAGUCAUUAGGCUUGCCGUUGAAUACUCCCCUGCCCCUUGUACCACCGCCCUCGCUACUCCGAUGAAGUGCUUAGCAAGAACGAUGGACGGCUAGUGAUUCCUCAUUUGUGUAGGAAUCAUUUGGGCUAAAGUCGUUCAAUGCUUGUUCACUUUGUAGACGGAAGAAAAAUCGUAACAAGGUUUCCGUAGUGAACCUGCGGAAG
rnacentral:rRNA from 1 species